CCUACGGGGGGCAGCAGUAGGGAAUCUUUCACAAUGGGCGCAAGCCUGAUGGAGCAAUGCCGCGUGCAGGAUGAAGGCCUUCGGGUUGUAAAGUGCUUUUAUAAGCGAGAAAUAUGAUGGUAACGUCUGAAUAAGGAUCGGCUAACUACGUGCCCGCAGCCGCGGUCAUACGUAGGAUCCGAGCGUUAUCCGGAGUAACUGGGUGUAAAGAGUUGCGUAGGUGGUAUAAUAAGUAGCUGGUGGAAUCGGGUGGCUCAACCAUUCAGACUAUUAGCUAAACUGUUAAGCUAGAGACCGUUAGGGGUAACUGGAAUACCUAGUGUAGGGGUGAAAUGCGUAGAUAUUAGGAAGAACACCAAUAGCGAAGGCAGGUAGCUGGGACGGUUCUGACGCUGAGGCACGAAAGCGUAGGGAGCAAACGGGAUUAGAUACCCCAGUAGUC
rnacentral:rRNA from 1 species